UACAGAGGUCUCAAGCGUUGUUCGGAUUCAUUGGGCGUGAAGGGUGCGUAGGCGGCGCGGUAAGUCGGGUGUGAAAUCUCGGAGCUUAACUCCGAAACUGCAUUCGAUACUGCCGUGCUUGAGGACUGGAGAGGAGACUGGAAUUUACGGUGUAGCGGUGAAAUGCGUAGAUAUCGUAAGGAAGACCAGUGGCGAAGGCGGCUUUCUGGACUGUAACUGACGUUGAGGCACGAAAGUGUGGGGAGCAAACAGG
rnacentral:rRNA from 1 species